rnacentral:rRNA from 1 species
UACGUAGGGGCCGAGCGUUGUCCGGAGUUACUGGGCGUAAAGCGUGCGCAGGCGGCGCGUUCUGCCCGGCGUGAAAGCCCCCGGCUCAACCGGGGAACGUCGUCGGGGACGGGCGCGCUUGAGGGCGGCAGGGGCUGGUGGAAUUCCCGGUGUAGUGGUGAAAUGCGUAGAGAUCGGGAGGAACACCUGUGGCGAAGGCGGCCAGCUGGGCCGACCCUGACGCUGAGGCACGAAGGCGUGGGGAGCGAAC